rnacentral:rRNA from 1 species
CGGGUGAGUAACACGUGGGUGACCUGCCCUUAGCUCUGGGAUAAGCCUGGGAAACUGGGUCUAAUACGGGAUAUGACUCCAUGACGCAUGUUGUGGGGUGGAAAGCCUUGUGCGGCUAGGGAUGGGCCCGCGGCCUAUCAGCUUGUUGGUGGGGUGAUGGCCUACCAAGGCGACGACGGGUAGCCGGCCUGAGAGGGCGACCGGCCACACUGGGACUGAGACACGGCCCAG